AUUGAACGCUGGCGGUAUGCUUUACACAUGCAAGUCGAACGGUAACAGGCCGCAAGGUGCUGACGAGUGGCGAACGGGUGAGUAAUGCAUCGGAACGUGCCCAGUCGUGGGGGAUAACUACUCGAAAGAGUAGCUAAUACCGCAUACGAUCUAUGGAUGAAAGCGGGGGACCGUAAGGCCUCGCGCGAUUGGAGCGGCCGAUGUCAGAUUAGGUAGUUGGUGGGGUAAAGGCUCACCAAGCCAACGAUCUGUAGCUGGUCUGAGAGGACGACCAGCCACACUGGGACUGAGACACGGCCCAGACUCCUACGGGAGGCAGCAGUGGGGAAUUUUGGACAAUGGGCGCAAGCCUGAUCCAGCAAUGCCGCGUGCAGGAAGAAGGCCUUCGGGUUGUAAACUGCUUUUGUACGGAACGAAACGGCUCUGGUUAAUACCCGGGGCUAAUGACGGUACCGAAAGAAUAAGCACCGGCUAACUACGUG
rnacentral:rRNA from 1 species